rnacentral:rRNA from 1 species
UACGUAGGGAGCAAGCGUUGUCCGGAAUCAUUGGGCGUAAAGCGCGCGUAGGCGGCCCCGUAAGUCCGCUGUGAAAGUCAGAGGCUCAACCCUUUGAAAGCCGGUGGAUACUGUGGGGCUAGAGUCCGGAAGAGGCGAGUGGAAUUCCUGGUGUAGCGGUGGAAUGCGCAGAUAUCAGGAGGAACACCAAUAGCGAAGGCAGCUCGCUGGGACGGUACUGACGCUAAGGCGCGAAAGCGUGAGGACGCA